GACGAACGCUGGCGGCGUGCUUAACACAUGCAAGUCGAACGGGAUAAUUUGAGAGCUUGCUCUUAGAGAAUCUAGUGGCAAACGGGUGAGUAACACGUAGACAACCUGCCGACAGGAUGGGGACAACAUUCCGAAAGGAAUGCUAAUACCGAAUGAAGCGGAGGAGGGGCAUCUCUCCUCCGUGAAAGAUGGCCUCUGAAUAUGCUAUCACCUGUCGAUGGGUCUGCGUCUGAUUAGCUAGUUGGUGAGGUAACGGCUCACCAAGGCGACGAUCAGUAGCCGGUCUGAGAGGAUGAACGGCCACAUUGGGACUGAGACACGGCCCAGACUCCUACGGGAGGCAGCAGUGGGGAAUCUUCCGCAAUGGGCGCAAGCCUGACGGAGCAACGCCGCGUGAGUGAAGAAGGUCUUCGGAUCGUAAAGCUCUGUUGACGGGGACGAACGUGCGAAGGGUGAAUAAUCCUUUGUAAUGACGGUACCUGUCGAGGAAGCCACGGCUAACUACGUG
rnacentral:rRNA from 1 species